GUCUUUUUGUUUAAAAUCUAAAGUCUGGCCUGCUCAAUGAAUUUUUAAAUAGCCGCAGUAUUUUGACUGUGCUAAGGUAGCAUAAUCAUUAGUUUUUUAAUUGAAAACUGGAAUGAAUGGUUGGAUGAAAAAAUAACUGUCUUUAAUUUAAUAAUUAAAAUUUUAUUUUUAAGUUCAAAAGCUUAAAUGUUUUUUAAAGACGAGAAGACCCUAUAGAAUUUUAUAUAUAAAUUAAUUUUAUAAUUUAGAAUUUAAUUUUAAGUUUAAUUUUAUAUUUAAUUGGGGUGAUUAAAAAAUUUAAUUAACUUUUUUUUUAUUUUUAUAUAAAUUAAUAAUUAUUUGAUCCAAAAUUUUUGAUUAUAAGAUAAAUUACCUUAGGGAUAACAGCGUAAUUUUAUUGGAAAGUUCUUAUUGAUAAUAAAGUUUGCGACCUCGAUGUUGGAUUAAAAUUAAUAAUUGGUGCAGAAGCUAAUUUAUUAAGUCUGUUCGACUUUUAAAAUUUUACA
rnacentral:rRNA from 1 species